rnacentral:rRNA from 1 species
UACGGAGGGUGCAAGCGUUGUUCGGAAUCACUGGGCGUAAAGCGCGUGCAGGCGGUCCGGUAAGUCCCCUGUGAAAGCCCGGGGCUUAACCCCGGAAGUGCAGGGGAUACUGCUGGACUUGAGUCCGGGAGAGGGGAGUGGAAUUCCCGGUGUAGAGGUGAAAUUCGUAGAUAUCGGGAGGAACACCAGUGGCGAAGGCGACUCCCUGGACCGAGACUGACGCUGAGACGCGAAAGCGUGGGGAG